rnacentral:lncRNA from 1 species
AGAGCAUGGUGGCCAUGGGGUCAGCAAGCGACAAGUCUAGCAGGCUCUAUUUUCUCGUUCUUCCAGCUGCAUUGGACUUAUUCCAGCAAGAGCUACUAUGGCCCCCUGGCACCUCUCAAUUCGGAUCAGCCACAUUUCCUGUGCUAGACAGCUAGAGCUGUGUACCUGACCUGUGAAGAGAGAAGAGAAUCAAGGCUUUCAGGGGAGAAGACUUCCCCCUGGUGGACAAAAGUGGAAAGUACAUGGGAGACUGAAGCAACUGGCUGAGCCCCGACCGGACAGGGAAGGUAAGCAAAGGAGGAUGAGAGAAGAGGUCGGGAAUUCAUUCAUCCUCCUCCAGCACCAUGGGGUUUUCACGACAUCUAGUCAACGUCUCAAUUCCCCCGGAAAUGUCUUUGGAUAGUGACCUAUCACAUCCAUUUCCUUGAUUCAAUAAUCAUGUAUGAUUUUGGCAUCGUAUGUACAGUGAGGGCCUGUGGGGACAGCACCCAAAUCAGAGAAGCAGCUCGAGGCCAGGCUCCUGAGGAAUUUGGGAGUGAGAACUGAUGGCAGACUCGCUGCCAGGAAGAGCCUGAGCGUGGACCAUCCUUUGAAGGAAUGUUGCGGUGAAGGCGAGGGGCAUACCAGACUCGAGGGUGUGUUAAAUGGGGAAAAGAGUUUUGGACAACAAUACAGGCUGCAGAGCAAUUGUCGUGAUCAGAUCAAAGGAAUCAGAGGCAUUCGAGAGGGGGCAGAGCAGAGCUGGUUAGGGCAACACACUCUGGAGCCCGCUUCACUGCUUCCUGGCUGAGAGACUUCGGACAAGUCACUUCCCUCCCUGUGCCUCAGUUCCCUCAUCGGUAUAACGUCGGUAAUAAUAGUACCUGCCUCCUGUGUUUGCGGUGUGAUGAGCUGUGUUUGUGUUGAGGAUUGAUUCUCUUUUUCAAAAUAACAUAUGUCAAAUGCUUAGAAUGGACAUAAGAAAAUGCCACGUAUUCGCUAUUAUGAUUACAGGAAUUCCUUUAGACGGCAACAUUUUCUCUGAGUGCUCACACAGAGGUCAGCCUUUUCCCAGCGAGCUGAGGUUCAAG